UACGGGGGGUGCGAGCGUUGUCCGGAUUUACUGGGCGUAAAGGGAGCGUAGGCGGCCGAAUAAGUCAGAUGUGAAAUCCCUGGGCUUAACCCAGGACGUGCAUUUGAAACUAUUCGGCUGGAGUAGGGGAGAGGAAAGUGGAAUUCCUGGUGUAGAGGUGAAAUUCGUAGAUAUCAGGAGGAACACCGGCGGCGAAGGCGACUUUCUGGCCCUAUACUGACGCUGAGACGCGAGAGCGUGGGUAGCAAACAGGAUUAGAUACCCCGUAGUCC
rnacentral:rRNA from 1 species